rnacentral:rRNA from 1 species
GAGCGGUAGCACAGAGAGCUUGCUCUCGGGUGACGAGCGGCGGACGGGUGAGUAAUGUCUGGGAAACUGCCUGAUGGAGGGGGAUAACUACUGGAAACGGUAGCUAAUACCGCAUAACGUCGCAAGACCAAAGUGGGGGACCUUCGGGCCUCAUGCCAUCAGAUGUGCCCAGAUGGGAUUAGCUAGUAGGUGGGGUAACGGCUCACCUAGGCGACGAUCCCUAGCUGGUCUGAGAGGAUGACCAGCCACACUGGAACUGAGACACGGUCCAGACUCCUACGGGAGGCAGCAGUGGGGAAUAUUGCACAAUGGGCGCAAGCCUGAUGCAGCCAUGCCGCGUGUGUGAAGAAGGCCUUCGGUUGUAAAGCACUUUCAGCGGGGAGGAAGGCGUUAAGGUUAAUAACCUUGUCGAUUGACGUUACCCGCAGAAGAAGCACCGGCUAACUCCGUGCCAGCAGCCGCGGUAAUACGGAGGGUGCAAGCGUAAUCGGAAUUACUGGGCGUAAAGCGCACGCAGGCGGUCUGUCAAGUCGGAUGUGAAAUCCCCGGGCUCAACCUGGGAACUGCAUUCGAAACUGGCAGGCUAGAGUCUUGUAGAGGGGGGUAGAAUUCCAGGUGUAGCGGUGAAAUGCGUAGAGAUCUGGAGGAAUACCGGUGGCGAAGGCGGCCCCCUGGACAAAGACUGACGCUCAGGUGCGAAAGCGUGGGGAGCAAACAGGAUUAGAUACCCUGGUAGUCCACGCCGUAAACGAUGUCGAUUUGGAGGUUGUGCCCUUGAGGCGUGGCUUCCGGAGCUAACGCGUUAAAUCGACCGCCUGGGGAGUACGGCCGCAAGGUUAAAACUCAAAUGAAUUGACGGGGGCCCGCACAAGCGGUGGAGCAUGUGGUUUAAUUCGAUGCAACGCGAAGAACCUUACCUGGUCUUGACAUCCACAGAACUUUCCAGAGAUGGAUUGGUGCCUUCGGGAACUGUGAGACAGGUGCUGCAUGGCUGUCGUCAGCUCGUGUUGUGAAAUGUUGGGUUAAGUCCCGCAACGAGCGCAACCCUUAUCCUUUGUUGCCAGC